AUGCAGUCGAGCGGAUCGAUGGGAGCUUGCUCCCUGAGAUCAGCGGCGGACGGGUGAGUAACACGUGGGUAACCUGCCUGUAAGACUGGGAUAACUCCGGGAAACCGGGGCUAAUACCGGAUAACACCUACCCCCGCAUGGGGGAAGGUUGAAAGGUGGCUUCGGCUAUCACUUACAGAUGGACCCGCGGCGCAUUAGCUAGUUGGUGAGGUAAUGGCUCACCAAGGCGACGAUGCGUAGCCACCUGAGAGGGUGAUCGGCCACACUGGGACUGAGACACGGCCCAGACUCCUACGGGAGGCAGCAGUAGGGAAUCUUCCGCAAUGGACGAAAGUCUGACGGAGCAACGCCGCGUGAGUGAAGAAGGUUUUCGGAUCGUAAAACUCUGUUGUUAGGGAAGAACAAGUGCCGUUCGAAUAGGGCGGCGCCUUGACGGUACCUAACCAGAAAGCCACGGCUAACUACGUGCCAGCAGCCGCGGUAAUACGUAGGUGGCAAGCGUUGUCCGGAAUUAUUGGGCGUAAAGCGCGCGCAGGUGGUUUCUUAAGUCUGAUGUGAAAGCCCACGGCUCAACCGUGGAGGGUCAUUGGAAACUGGGGAACUUGAGUGCAGAAGAGGAAAGUGGAAUUCCAAGUGUAGCGGUGAAAUA
rnacentral:rRNA from 2 species